rnacentral:lncRNA from 1 species
UCAUGUUGGUCUGGGCAUGCUGCGGACACUUACAUGAGGUGAAGUUGAACUGCCUGACGCUGCCAACGCCGCCAUCGCCCUCCACGGGGUGGGCGCUGGUGACGACGUGGGAAGCGACCUUGGGCGCCAGGUUGUGCCAGUCAAUAACGGCGGCGCGGAACAGGCGUGGCGCGGCCACCGGCGAAGGGAUCUCGAGGGUCCAGCUGUUGGCGGAGGCCAUUACGACUUCAGUGAUGCCGAUCGACUAAACUUGUGGUAGCUGAAGCUGCUUAGGUGCUCAGCUCUGAGCGUGGCAGUGCUGCUGGUGGUGGUUCUAGGAUGGCAGCUUCUCUGCUUGCGUUGCCAUGAGAGUGGCGGGCUGAGGGCUUUAAAUAGGCCGUUAUGGUCCGUCCCGUGAGGAUGAGAUCGACGCCCGGGAGUCGUCGGCGGCUCUUCCCACUUGGGUUGGCUUGGCACGGCAUCGUCUCGUCGCCUCGGCGGUCCAUUAGUCCAUUAUUAUAAUAUAUGUUGCCGGGGUUGCAGACAAAUGUUAGGAAACGUGCUGUCACUCCGUCAACGUUCAACAUCAAGAAGGUGCGGAAGUAGAGCGUGUGAGGAAGGACCGAAGGAGCCGCCAGGGGUCCACCGAUGCCACCCCUGUUAUCAAUAAUCAAGGAGAUCUGCGAUGCAUAGAAAUAAUUUGUAUUGUUUUCUACAAACUUUGGUAUUUAUAUCUCAGAUAUCUGCUUCCAUAGAAAUAUCUAAAAUAUAUUACUUUAUCUAAUAAAUUACAUUGUGUGUUAGCAUUUUCUCAAAGUAUUUUAAAGGGUGUUAAAUUAGCACGCAAGGUUCUAAUGCAUAUGUAUAAUCAACAACACUUAUUGGCACUUGAUAACCGCUUUAACCAUGAUUUUCUCCUCUUCAUGGUACGACUAUCUAUCCUAAACCCAAUUAUAUCCUCUAUAGUGUCUUGAUUAGUGAAACACAAAUAGCUUUAUCAUAUAUCUUUGUCUUGAGCCUAUUUUUGUUUCUCUCUUUCUUCUUUUCCAAGUUGGAGUACAUGAUCUUCACAUUUGGCCACCUCUAUCAUCAUGGAUGUCAUCAUCUAGCUCCACCAUUAGUGUGUACCAAUCCUAUCUCAUAUACACUUAGAACAAUGAUUACUACACUUAGGUUUCACUAAUUAUUUAAAACCAAAAUAGCGCUUUCACAUAUCAAGUUUAAUCACACACAACAUCUGCUUCUUGCCCUUUUCUCUUUCAUGAAAUGCAAGCAUUCAUACACCGUCGGUAUGUUGUCCGUAAUGAGUCUCCUUAGCACAAACGUUGACUAUUCUUUCGAAAUCACCUUGGGUAAAAUAAUCUGUAGUCUGUUUGCCACUGUCUUAGAAGCAAUCUUGUAUAUUACAUUACAUAGACUGAUAGGUCAAAACUGCCCUAGCUUGACCGGCUUCUCCACUCUUGGGAUCAGUACUAUGCAUAUGCUAUUUAUCAGGGAGGAUCAUCCUCCCCCUCCAACACACGCAACAACACAACACACACAUCCUCGUUACAUAAGUCCCAAUGCAGCUGAAAAAAUGUCUUCAUCUUGAACAUUUAAAGCACAAUCCUGAUCUCCUCCUUUCAUAUACAAGCAAGCGUCCUGACUACUUGUAUCACUCUUUUGGUGUUGCACUAUCGUUAUUAGCUUUAUUAUUAACUCCUUUCGUAUCCAAUCUCCAGAAUUAAGCAAAGGUUUGUUUGCUUUCUCAAUUUACCAUCAUAUGAUUAUUAUACGAUAAUCCAAUAAAUACAUCUCUUUUAUUCAUCCUGCAAAAGGUCUAGUGGUGAGAAUAUGGACAGAGCUUAUAAAGUGAAUAUACAAUCAUAGUAUAUGUACUUCGCCACUAAAGUUAAUAUACAAAGAAAUUGGAGGGUGAUUCAAAGAAAUUGGAGAGUGAAUCUCUUCUUUCAAACCUCCGAAGAAACUACUCACAAAGUAAACAUCAUCAUAGGAGCUAUUGUACAAUAGAAUUUGAUGCGCAAGCUGUUCAAACUGCUCAAAGUACUCUGUGACCGAAGUAAGUUUAUCCAAUUGUUUCAUGCAUAAUUGAUAUUGGUCACGGUCAAAAUAACUGCAAACUGCAUCACAAGAGCAGGCCAAGAUGUGAAACAACCAUGCAAAUCUGCAGAUUGUAACCAAGUAGCAGCGGUCCUCCAAAAUUCAAUGUGGCAAACCUGGCUUCAAUGUCUUGCUGAUAGAGUACACUUCAAAAUAGAUCUCACAAUGAUCUACAACCACAAAUUGUCACUAUCAAAUUUGGGGAAAUCUGAUUUGAGCUUUAGGCUAACCCAAGAUGUAUGAGAAUACAAAUGUUGUGAAAAAUCCAUGUAUGACAUAGGGUGUUCUAGAGGCAUACCCAUGACCGGGUUUGACGGGUAGGGUCCAAGGAUCCCUCUUUCAACAUCCCAAUGAGACAAUUCAUGGAGAUGCUCCUGAGCCACUCCAUGGAUGACACAAAUGAACCUGUCCCCCAUGUUUAGAGCCAAGUUGAGGUCCAACGCACCAUGCUACAGCGGGCUGAAGCAGAGUAGCCGAGGCGACGGAGGCAGUAGUGGUGGCGGUGGUCAUGCCUCUAACUUUUGAACCCAUCUAGUCAUCUUCGAUGUGGUCUGCAAUAGCAUCCCCAACGAUGAAUCUGCGGUGGUCUUCCAUGAAUCGAGGUUGGUGAACUUGCCAAGGAGCUGCUAAAGUAGCUUGAUACCCUAGAACUAGUUGUUGGUAAAAAAUCAGCCUACUCUAAGUACCACUUGUGAUGAACUAAGAUAGCUUAGGAAGAAUUAGACAUAGAUUCAACAAGAAUUGGAUAGAAAUUAGAGGAAUUUUAGCGCGGCGGGAGCCCGCGUGGAGGACCCUAGUUUUAGAGUUUGGGUUUCAAUUAACAAAACAUGUUUGUUACACGCUAUUUUGGCCCCUUUUAAGGCAACAUAGUGUCGGCUUUCCAUUCAGUUUGGGUCCACCUGUCAUUCCCUUAAGCUUUCAUGUCCACUAUAUGUUCCUCUUUUUUUGUUGGAUCCCAAACAUCUACGUCGGGCCAGCUUCCAUCACCGUCUACACAUAUGCCGCGGAGUCAUAACAAAUGCGUACUCUCACCUUUGUAGUGAACACUAUAACUUGUGGAGUCUUCAUAUUAUUCAAAGGCAACUGCUCCAGAACCCUUCCUUUUAAAAUUAUACACGCAUCUCAAAGCAUCAAAUCUAAUUAAAUAAAUGUUUUUUCUUAAUUAUUAUUACCUAUCUAGGUGUUGCAUGGGCCUGGCCCUUCCACGUCCAGCCCAAACCCAAUCCAUUUUAAUAUCAUCUAGAUCUGGAAAAAGAAUUCGAACGUUUGGAGUGCUUAUGCUGAGAUGACGCAGCUACUCUGAUGGGUCUCGCCGAGUCGCACAUGACGCCCCCUUGUCAUCCUCCAUUACGCUGAUGACGACACAAUGACACUCCUAUCCAACGCGGGCGGCGAUGAUGACAAAUACAUGUGAUGUUCAUCGGGUUUUACAGCACGGCAUUAUGAUCAACUCCACUCCACCUGAUCCUGCGACGAUAUGUGUAGGACACAGGUUACGAUGGGCUUCAACGGAACUGGUGGCUUCUUGCGGAACUCAGGGCUGUUUAGUUCUGAAAAAUUUUGCAAAGUUUUUAAGAUUUCUUGUUAUAUUAUUUUUUGCAGUACAUGUAUGAAAUAUUAAAUAUAUAUAGAUAAAAAAUAAUUAAUUAUAUAGUUCGUCUAUAAUUUAUGAGACGAAUCUUUUGAGAAUAGUUAGUCUAUAAUUUAAUAAUAAUUGUUAAAUACAAACGAAAGUACUAUAGUAACCGAAACCAAAAUUUUUCACCAAAUAAACAGCUCCAAGCGAAUCGAACGCGCACCAGGGAUAGGAAAGAGAUUAGUUAGGCACGGGCUGGGUUGGAUAUGGUCAGACUCAUGAGGGGCCCAUGUGACAAAGAAUUAAGAAAAAUAUUUAGUUCAUCUGAUUGCCUGUUUUAAGAUCCGCGCAAUUUUAAUAAAGAAGAGUAUUGUAGCAGUUCUCUUAUUCGAAAAGUAAUUUCAAAUUUCAACAACAACAUAUUCUGCAGAAUGAAAACUCUCCAAAUAAAUAUCUAUUCUAAAUGAGCAAACAUUUCUUAUUCUGUCAAACUUGCAUAGGAUUCCAAAACAUAAUACCUCGUAUAAUCUAUGUAUGCCCUUUUCCUUCCCACAUAGAAAAGAACCAUGAGGGUAUACAUAAUCACACAAACAAAAAGCAUCACAUACCACUUAUAGCAUCUCAAGUCCACACACCACACACUGCAUAGGGCAGCUUUAUUUUGUUUUGAAUGAAAAAAAAAGAGGAAAACUCCAGGAAAGAAAAAGAAAAAUUAAAUCGAAACUUCAGGAAGGGGAAUCGCAUCCGAAUCCUCUGAUUUAGUUGUAGGCGUCGGGGUUGGCGACGAGGUAGGCCUCGGCACCCUUGAAAAUGGCGGUGAGUGCCUCCUUAGCCUUUGCUUCCUCGUCCUUCUCGUCCAUGCCCGGCAGCAGCUUGUAGGUCGACUCCACCUUCACCACGCUGCCGCCGUUGGCUGCGGGCUCCACCUUGAUGUGCGACGCCGCGGUCUCGAUGGCAACACCGAGGCCGCCGCCCUCGACGAGCGUGUUCUUGCACUCGCACUUGUCCACGUCCAGGAAAUCGAGCCUCUCCUUCAUGAAGCUGAACGGCAUGACUGCAAGAGCGAUCGAUCCCACGUCAGGCGCUAGCUGUUUGAUCGAUGAUCAAGCGAGAACAUCAAGUCGACUGGGCAUGCUGCGGACACUUACAUGAGGUGAAGUUGAAC